ensembl:lncRNA
CCGUGAUGCAGUUUUACAACCCUUUGCACCCCUAGCGGCAGCUCAGGAAAAACAAUUACAGCCACGUGCUUUGGUAAAUGUUCAACAGCAGCCGAACAGAAAGAACCUGCUGUUGCACUCCUUGAUUGGAUGGAAACACAUCAACGGGGAAUCCAAUUUGCUUUGUGUGCGCUCACUGAGCCAGCUGCAGAAAUAACAUGAAAGGGCAGAAUAAAGCACCUCAAAACAGGAACGUUUUAAGUCCGCGUUUCUUUUCAAGUCAUGAAAAACCUUUGUUGAAGGGAUGGUAAAAUACAAAUUUGGCUGACACACACACGCACACACACUGCCCCAACACUCCUGUGGUUGUCUGAGACGGCGUGAGGCGUAACCCCACCCUCUCUAUAGGGCAGCAGAUCGCUUCCAGUAACUUGAAAAGACCCCCACUGCCCCCUCACAAGUGUGCUUCAUCAAAGUCCUUCACGAUCCUGCUCUAUGGAUAACACACAGUUCUGACCCUUUUACGACUUCCUUCUCCUCCCAGCUUUCCUGAGGACUCGGGGGGGAAUAAGGCACCGAGUGUGCAGAGCAGCAAGGACUGAGAGGGAGUGAGGCUCAGCGUGUUAGCAGGCCCCCACAUCAGGAAAAACCACGAAUCCUCAGCCUCCAGCAGGGAGAUUGUUCUCAAUAGGUACGUGUUCAUUAUUCUGACCAAGCCUGUUCCCACCACGCCGGUUUCCUCUGUAGAAUUCAGCAGCUGGAACAUUUGUGCAGUAAAAAGGAACUGAGAGUAUCAGUGUCUGGGCUCGUGUGACAGCGGGGCGGGGAUGGUAAGCAGCGCAGUGACCCGGCGCUGGAGACGCACUGUGCACAGCAGACAUCAUGGCUGGGAGGGGAGACGGCCGGGCUACGGAUACGCGUUUGCCGGAGCACUGGAGGGAUGUGCGAGAAUGGAGCGUGGAGAAGAGACAGAGCCACCAAAUGUGGGUUGCAGAUGUGGAAGCUGUCCUCAGGUCCAUGGAGAGACAGUUGAAUGCUUCACUGGAGAAAUAUCCUCGUACAAGCGCAGUCUGCCCAGAGCGUUGUCCUCCAUCUCCUUUGAACCGCGGCGGGUGUCUCUGCUGCCGACCAGCUGAUCCGGAGAGGCGCCUUAAGAUGGUCUGAAAUGAUUUGGAGGCAAGAGAAACGCUCAGCGAUCCCGUUUUCUUUGCAAACCUGAACCCUUCAAUCCCUCAUGCAAUGACCUGUCCUCAUAAGCCGUUUUUGCCAUUCAGCUGAGGAAAGUCAUUUCACACUUGAGUGUAUCUUUACUUAUCCGUCCCCUGAGCGCUGAAAAGUAGAUUUCAACUUGAGAUCUUCCCGCGAUGACUUCCAGCUUCAUGUUCUUAAUACUCUGCUAACGACUGACUAAUGAAUAAACAAGUCUCUCUGCGA